rnacentral:rRNA from 1 species
CACCGCGGUUAUACGAGAGACCCUAGUUGAUAACUACCGGCGUAAAGAGUGGUUACGGAAAAAUAUUCAAUAAAGCCGAACACCCCCUCAGCCGUCAUACGCACCUGGGGGCACGAAGAUCUACUGCGAAAGCAGCUUUAACUAUGCCUGAACCCACGACAGCUACGACA